rnacentral:ncRNA from 21 species
CUCUUAUCAAGAGAGGUGGAGGGACUGGCCCGAUGAAACCCGGCAACCACGAAUUGUUUUUGCAAUUCGAAGGUGCUAAUUCCAACAACACUUAUGUGUUGAAAGAUGAGAG